rnacentral:rRNA from 1 species
AGAGUUUGAUCAUGGCUCAGAUUGAACGCUGGCGGCAGGCUUAACACAUGCAAGUCGAGCGGAAACGAUGAUUGCUUGCAAUCAGGCGUCGAGCGGCGGACGGGUGAGUAAUGCUUGGGAAUGUACCUUUUGGUGGGGGACAACAGUUGGAAACGACUGCUAAUACCGCAUAACGUCUACGGACCAAAGCGGGGGACCUUCGGGCCUCGUGCCAAGAGAUCAGCCCAAGUGAGAUUAGCUAGUUGGUGGGGUAAAGGCCUACCAAGGCGACGAUCUCUAGCUGGUUUGAGAGGAUGAUCAGCCACACUGGGACUGAGACACGGCCCAGACUCCUACGGGAGGCAGCAGUGGGGAAUAUUGCACAAUGGGGGAAACCCUGAUGCAGCCAUGCCGGGUGUGUGAAGAAGGCCUUCGGGUUGUAAAGCACUUUCAGUCGUGAGGAAAGGGUGUACGUUAAUACCGUGCAUCUGUGACGUUAGCGACAGAAGAAGCACCGGCUAACUCCGUGCCAGCAGCCGCGGUAAUACGGAGGGUGCGAGCGUUAAUCGGAAUUACUGGGCGUAAAGCGUGCGUAGGCGGAUUGUUAAGCGAGAUGUGAAAGCCCCGGGCUCAACCUGGGAACUGCAUUUCGAACUGGCAGUCUAGAGUUUUGUAGAGGGUGGUGGAAUUUCCAGUGUAGCGGUGAAAUGCGUAGAGAUUGGAAGGAACAUCAGUGGCGAAGGCGGCCACCUGGACAAAAACUGACGCUGAGGCACGAAAGCGUGGGGAGCAAACAGGAUUAGAUACCCUGGUAGUCCACGCCGUAAACGAUGUCAACUAGGCUGUCUGUGUCCUUGAGACGUGGGUAGCGUAGCUAACGCGCUAAGUUGACCGCCUGGGGAGUACGACCGCAAGGUUAAAACUCAAAUGAAUUGACGGGGGCCCGCACAAGCGGUGGAGCAUGUGGUUUAAUUCGAUGCAACGCGAAGAACCUUACCAUCCCUUGACAUCCAGAGAAUUUACUAGAGAUAGUUUAGUGCCUUCGGGAGCUCUGAGACAGGUGCUGCAUGGCUGUCGUCAGCUCGUGUUGUGAAAUGUUGGGUUAAGUCCCGCAACGAGCGCAACCCUUAUCCUUAGUUGCUAGCGGUUAGGCCGAGAACUUUAAGGAGACUGCCGGUGAUAAACCGGAGGAAGGUGGGGACGACGUCAAGUCAUCAUGGCCCUUACGGGAUGGGCUACACACGUGCUACAAUGGCGUAUACAGAGGGCUGCGAGACCGCGAGGUGGAGCGAAUCCCAGAAAGUACGUCGUAGUCCGGAUUGGAGUCUGCAACUCGACUCCAUGAAGUCGGAAUCGCUAGUAAUCGUAGAUCAGAAUGCUACGGUGAAUACGUUCCCGGGCCUUGUACACACCGCCCGUCACACCAUGGGAGUGGGUUGCAAAAGAAGUAGCUAGUCUAACCUUCGGGGGGACGGUUACCACUUUGUGAUUCAUGACUGGGGUGAAGUCGU